AUUAUGUCCGACGAGAACUUGAUCAUGGCAAAGCAAGAGGGCUUGCUAAAGAAAUUUAAACUCACCACAACUAUCAGCACAAGCAACAUGCAUCUGUUCGACCCAAAAGGCGUGAUUAAGAAAUAUGAAACCCCUGAACAGAUUCUUGAAGAAUUCUUCCACGAAUCAGAGGUCAUCUGUCAAACUUAGGUGUGAGGUUCACAUCUUAUCAUGGGAAUUUUAUGCUUAGGUCCACUGAUUUAUUAGCGCUUCCAGCUGUAGACUGUGAUAAAGCUUACGCAAUGCAGAUGGGUCUUGAAGAAACAUUAUUGACCACUCAGACUGUAUAUUUCCAAGUUGCUUUGUUAUACACUUCAUCUUCUGGAGAGAGGCGUAUUAGAGUGCAUACUGCAGCAGCACCAGUGGUUGCAGAUCUAGGAGAGAUGUAUCGGCAUGCUGAUACUGG